GGUUCUAGUCACUGCUCAGCCAUGGAGCCAACUGGGUGACUUUGGGCCAGUCACAGGCCCUCAACCCAACCUACCUCACAGGGUUGUUAUUGUGGGGAUAAGAUUGAGAACAGCAGUAGGAGGAGGAUGUAAGACACUUUGAAUUCUUUG